AAACAUUCAAGCAACUUGAGAUUUUAUUUUGAAAAUAGCUAUUUUGACAUAAUAUCCAGUUUCUCGUGUAUCAGAAUAAAUUCUUUACAACAUUGAUCAUCAUCACUUCUGGGUACUUGUACAUAAUCUCUGAGUAAAAUAUAUUCACACUAGGCAAGGCUAGAAUAUUGAAACUAUGACAAAUAAUGCUUAAGUUUGUUAAUAACAAAACUAUAGUAGUUGUACACUAGAAGAGAUGUUUCAAAUGUUUACCAUUCAAAGAUAAGCUUGGUAGAACAAAACCAAUAUAAGUAUACAUAAAUUUCUUGUCUUCUUUACCAUCAGUCUUUAAGAAAGCUGAAGUUACAUUACAAACACUUCAAAUUUCCACUUCAGAGUGAGCAGAAAAAUGAGAAGACAUUAUUUCCUAUUUUACAAAAUAAAACACCAAGUUAGAAGAAUAAAGCUCAUCUUUAUGCAAUUAACAUAAAAGCUUGAGUACACCGAUCCUUCUCCAAGAAAUAGAGACGCCAGCCCUGCAACACAGGCAGCCAACAGGCCAAAGAAUGGAUGGCCAGCACACAGCCUUCUCCACUCUGCAUGACUUGCUCAGAACUGAUGCAAACUCUGGCAAAUCAUUUUUUCUAGACUUCCAAGGAUCUUGGUUAUGUAAACUCAAUGAUUAAAAGGCAUUUUUCUGAAUUUG
rnacentral:lncRNA from 1 species